rnacentral:rRNA from 1 species
UACGUAGGGGGCAAGCGUUGUCCGGAAUCAUUGGGCGUAAAGCGCGCGUAGGCGGCCAGAUAAGUCCGGUGUGAAAGUCACAGGCUCAACCUGUGAAUGCCGCUGGAAACUGUCUGGCUAGAGUCCGGAAGGGGCGAGUGGAAUUCCUGGUGUAGCGGUGAAAUGCGCAGAUAUCAGGAGGAACACCAAUGGCGAAGGCAGCUCGCUGGAACGGUACUGACGCUGAGGCGCGAAAGCGUGGGGAGCGAACAGG